GACGAACGCUGGCGGCGUGCUUAACACAUGCAAGUCGAACGGUGACGGGGUGUGCUUUUGUGGGCCCUGGUUGAGUGGCGAACGGGUGAGUCACACGUGAGUAAUCUGCCCCCUUCUUGUGUAUAAUCGCAUGAAAGUGUGUCUAAUACGGGAUAUUCUCGGUCUGUCGCAUGUUGGGUCUGGGAAAGGUUGCGCCUUUGGGUGUUUUUUGUGGCGGAUGUGCUCGCGGCCUAUCAGCUUGUUGGUGGUGUGAUGGCCUACCAUGGAGGUGACGCGUAGCCGAGAUGGGAGGGUGGAAGGUUAGAAUGGGACUGAGGCACAGACCAGAAUCGUACGGGAGGGAGGAGUAGGGAAUAUUGCGCAAUGAGGGCAAGCCUGAUGCAGCGGCGCCGCGUAAGAGAGGGUGGCGUUCGGGUUGUAAACCUCUUAGGGAAGAGAAGCAGGCCUGGUAAUUGUGGGUGGGUUGACGGUAGCUAGAUAAGAAGCGCCGGCUAACUACGUG
rnacentral:rRNA from 1 species